GAUCCUUACAUACUCUCUCCGAUUUAAGUCCUGGCAUCCUUACUGGACUAAGAAUCCAAAUCUAUUCAGAAGUACUAUAAAUUUAAUUACAAACACCAUAAUCAGCUUGGAUCAACCCAAAUGAGGUAGUUGCAGUGUCCCCUAGUCUAUAUGGCUAUGGAUUUGGUUCAUCUGAUAUCAUUUAUAACAACUUAGGAUCUCACAUAAGAAGGCUAGCUAGAAGAUAUUAUUUGAAUCUUUUAAAACUAUGUAAGUACAC
rnacentral:lncRNA from 1 species